UACGGGGGAUGCAAGCGUUAUCCGGAAUCAUUGGGCGUAAAGCGCCUGUAGGUGGUUUAGUAAGUCUGUUGUUAAAGCCUAGGGCUUAACCCUAGAAAAGCAAUGGAAACUACUAGGCUAGAGUAUGGUAGGGGUAGAGGGAAUUUCUAGUGUAGCGGUGAAAUGCGUAGAUAUUAGAAAGAACACCGGUGGCGAAGGCGCUCUACUGGACCAUUACUGACACUCAGAGGCGAAAGCUAGGGUAGCAAAAGGGAUUAGAUACCCCUGUAGUCCUAGCCGUAAACGAUGGAUACUAGAUGUUGCGUUUUUAUGCAGUAUCCUAGCUAACGCGUUAAGUAUCCCGCCUGGGGAGUACGCUCGCAAGGGUG
rnacentral:rRNA from 1 species